UGUGAUAACGACCGACCGACCGACCGACAGACACACUUUGUUCUAUUCGUGUUCGACGCGCGCGAUGCGUCCGAUCUCGUUCGCCGCCACCGCCGCCGUCUGAAUUCGAUCGCGUUUUUUGCUGAUAAUUUUUUUUUUUAAUACAUUUUUUUACAUUUUUUUCCGCGUCUCUCGCCUAACGUCGGGCCCGCGCGCUCUCGCUACUCAAGCGACGGCUGUCUGUCUUUCGAAUAAUUUAUAUAAUAUAUAAUAUAAUAAUCAGUUUUGUUUUUUUUUUUUCUCAAAAGAUAAAACAACAACAACAACAACAACAAUAAUAAUAAUAAUAAAACAUAUAUAGUAAAGACCACACAGCUUUUGGCCCCGCAUGCCGCAACAUGUCCUACCGCUCGCUGGCCGCCGAUCGCGUGUACAAAGCGACUACGGACGACCUGCAGCCGGAGCGGAAGAACUCUGUCGGUACUGUUUUUAAAAAGGCUUUCGGCACGCUAAGCUCCAGCCCCCGGCGCAGGCUGUCCGAACCGCUUAUGUCCGGCGUGCCCGUAAUCGGCACCGGAAACAUCAACACGCCGCUCAGAAAAAUGCCCACCUCUGCCAUAUCCGAGGAAGCGUCGCUGCUCAGUGGCAUGCGAUCGGAGACUUUGGAAGAAGUGGAACUCACCGGCGUCCGUCCGUCGCUACCCGCCGUCCGAACGUUUACCAGGGGCAACACCGGUGUGGAAGAGGUGUACGUGGACACCGACAAUGGGCCGGUGUGCGUGGCCGUGCAAGGCGAUCGGUCCAGGCCACCAAUACUCACUUACCACGACUUAGGACUGAACUACGUCACGAGUUUUCAGACAUUCUUCAAUUAUACUGAAAUGCGCACCCUCAUGUCAAAUUUCUGCGUAUACCACGUGAAUGCACCCGGACAGGAAGAAGGAGCAGCACCGUUAUCGGAUGACUAUGUUUUUCCUAGUAUAGAUGAUUUAGCGAAUCAGUUAGACCACGUUCUAAGAUACUUCGGUUUGCAGUCGAUCGUUGGACUUGGAGUGGGAGCUGGUGGGAAUAUUUUGACGCGGUUCGCUUACAGACAACCAACAAAGGUCGAAGCCCUGUGCCUGAUCAACGUGGUGUCGACGCCGGCCGGUUGGAUCGAGUAUGGUUAUCAAAAGUUGAACAGCAGAUAUUUGAAAUCCAAAGGCAUGACACAAGGAGUGAUGGACUAUUUGAUGUGGCACCAUUUUGGAAAAGGAACCGAAGAGAGGAACCACGAUCUGGCCAGAGUGUACCGCGAGUACUUCGAGCACAGCGUUCACCCGGGAAACCUAGCUGCGUUCAUCGACUCGUACGUGAGACGGACGGACCUGGGAAUCAGCAGGAGCACGCCGACGUCUGAGCAAUGCCCGGCAGGACGCCGGCUCAGCAUGUCCACCACGUUGCAGAUGCCCAUCAUCAACGUGUGCGGAGCUCUGUCGCCGCACCAGGAGGACACGGUGACGCUCAACUCGAGACUGGACCCAACCAAGUCGUCGUGGAUGAAGAUAUCCGACUGUAGCAUGGUGCUGGAAGAGGUACCACAAAAAAUGUGUGAAGCGCUGCGGCUUUUCUUGCAAGGACUCGGUUACGCUGUGAGACUCGGCCGGCCACCGUUGACCGUAUCCAGAUCGGCUGAAGGUAAAAAUGUACUAGCUAAUGCAUUUAGCGCACGGAUGCACGAAUAGUUAGCGCACGCACACACACCCACAGAAACACAUACACACACAUAUAUAUAUAUACAGACACACACGUACUACACACACAUCAAAUACACCCUCCUACCUACCGGGCAAAUUGAUCGACUAAAAGUAUAUCAGCUUCGAAAAAACGAAAUUUGUAACACUUGUAUCAGAAUAUUAUAAUCGCGAGGCUGGGCAUUAUGGUGUUUAAGAUGAGACGAAAGUUUUUUACGACGUGUUAAAGUUUUUUAUUCGAGUAUGUCGUUAUUGUUUUGCAUUUUAAAUAAAAAUUACAAUUAUAUUUAUGUCUAUUGUUAUACGUGUAUAAAAUUGUCUCGACUACUUGGUCAUUGUUGUAAACUUAUGAAUACGAUUUUGAGUAUAAAACAUAUGUGAUAUGCACUAUAUUUUCGAUAAUAUAUGUUGUGAUUUAAUAUAAUGUUUUAUAGAACCUAUAUUUUCAUUUUUAUUUUUUUGUUUGAUGGAGUUCGAAUGCAAUAUUUUUACGACGACAAAUAAAUUAGGUAUUAAAAUAUAAACUUUUUACCGAUACCGUCCGUCUUAGGAAAAAAGUUUCCCCUAAAAUUACAGGUAUUAAAAAAAUACUCAAACAUUUUAAAAACAUUAUUGUUAACACAACCAAUUAAAUAAAUUUAAAAAAAAGUUACUUGGCUGCGAUACUAUAUUUCUUCCGAUUUAACUUAUACAAGUAUUAUCACGAAAUUAUUAUUGGAAAAAAAAAUAAAGUUUAACGUCCAGCCUUGCUCAUAUUAUAUUCUAUACUAUGCUAUCCACACAACUAUAAGUGCAACGCUAUAUUUUGUUUUCAAACACGUAUAAUUAUUUAAUCAAUACUGUUAUUUUUAUAAAUAUACAAUAUCAUUACACACGCUUAUGUAGAUUUAAUUUAUGUAUGCGUGUACAAGUUAGAAAUCAUUAAUAACUAUAAAUAAUUUUUACUGACAUUGACGCAACUAAAUAAAACAGUGGUGUUUUCGAGGAUACAAUAGCGUUAGGUAAUCAGGUUUUACAAUAUACAACAAUUUUUUUUCAUGAGAAUUUGUUCAGUUCGAUUGCUCAGAAUCUACUAUCAUAACGCCCGUCGUGCAGUGCCUCGAUAAAUUACAAUUAUUUAUGAUAACCAAUUUGAACCAAACUGCGGAAAUGUGUUCAUAAUAUUAGUUUAUCUAUAUAAAAGCAAUUUUGCCUUCAAGUGUUGUUGCAUAUAUUACGUUUAAAGUUAUCAUUUGCUCGGAAUCCAAAACCGUUCAAGCGUAUACUAACGCGUUACUAAUACACCAGAGAAAUCAAAAUUGAAAUUAUCCGUUUUAUAUUCUUAGUCGUAUAUACAUAUAGCACGGUCUAAUCAAAUUAAUAAGUUAUAUAAUACAUAAUCGUCCAAUACAGCAAUAUGAUAAUUUCGUUUAAGUCAGUUCAACAAUUAGGUAUUAUUUGUCCUAAAAUGUUAAACCGUUGAAGACAUUUAGACUUUUAAUAAUUGAAUUUAUCUAAUACUUAAUCAUUUAAAGAAAAAGUCUAACCUUAUAUCUAAAGUUAAAUUUUGGAAUAUAAAAUAAUAUAUGGUUAUGAAACCGAAAGAUAAAUACUGCCAUGUUUAUUGGUUUUAGUUUUAAACGAGCCGUCGAAUAAUAAUAUUACACUUGAAAAACAAAUAAAUUCGUAGAAAUAUAAUAUCUAAUUACCUGUUAAUAACCAUGUUUUAAUGAAAAAAAAAACUUGUGUCUAUAUAUUAUUGUAUAAUACGUCAUAUUUUCGAGUCGUGUAAUUUUGUAUUGCAGUUUAUUAUUUAUUUUUUUCAAGAUUCAGCAUUGUUUGUAAUCGUGCCUUUGAUAAAAUAUCAAACAUAUUUUUAAUUUAAAUUGUGUCUUGAAAAUAUAUACACAUUUAUGAAAUAAUUAUAAUAUACAAUGGGCAUAUAACACACAUUAUCGCUAUAAUUCGUUCUGUUGUAAAUUGUUUGAUAGAAAUGUCUUCGAUUACAAUAAUCUCUCAUCUUUGGCAUAUUAUUAUUUAUCGAUCAGGAAUAACACACUGUAACUAACACAAACAUAAUAAUCAUAAAUACUCAUUAAUUAAUUAAACUAUAAUUAUUAAACUAAUUUAAUAAUCUAAAUAUGAUUUAUAGUUUCAUUUGAGAACUUAAUAUUAUUAUGUAUGUUAGCAACUAUUAAACUAUUCAUUGCACGUCGAUGCAUAAUGUAUGACACACAAAACUGAAAUUAAAAAAAAUUGCUUGAAUAGUUUAGUUUAAUUUAUUAGUACCUAUCUAGUAACUUGUUAUUUUUCAAACACAAUAAUUAAUAAUACAUACAUACAAUAAAUGUUUCUUUUAUGUUGAAUAGAUUAUCAAACAAAUAAUUACUAAAAAAUAUAAUCAUUGACAUUUUUUUUUAUUAAUUAUAUUAUAUUCAUAAAAGUAUAAGCUGUUUACCAAUAUAUAUUUUUUUAAACCAAUUGUAUUUAAGACAUUUAAAGAAUUUUAUUAUAAACUUAGGUGCUAAUGGUAAUUCAGAUAAGAAAUAAUGAUCCCGACAAAACAUUCCGUAUAGGUUCACCUAAAAUGAUACGAGUUUGUAAUAAACAAUGAAUUCGAUUAAAAAUUUUCCGAAGAUAUUUCAAAAUUAACGAAUACAAAUUUAUUCAAGCGCAUACUACGAAAUCACGGUUAUAUCGAAAUCCAUAAGGCAGUCCGCGUCCAAAGACAGCGUGCGCAGCUCGCCGUGGCCGUUCAGAAUCACCGAAAACCCGCUGACGGCAUGAUGACAUGAUGCGCGUAAUGCGUUUAUGUCAUUAGCGUGCGCAGGUCGUCUGGCGGCGAGGCGGGAGGAUGGUGCUAUAGCAACAGUUUUACAAUAAUAAUAUAAUUAUAGGUAUACGCAUAUAUAUAUAUGUAUAUAUAGAUGACAUAUAUAAAUAUUAUAACAUAAAAUAUACACCCGUGGAGUAUUUUCGCGGUCUGGCAUCGACGAGUCGUGGGGUGACAAACGUAUACGAACGGUCUGGCUAGUUUGUUUUUUUUUGUAGACAAUUAUAUACAUAUAACAAAUAUAUAUAUAUAUAUAUAUAUAUAUAUACGUAGACCUAUAUGUAUUAUGAUAAUAAACAGUUAUGUAAUAUGUAAUGACGUUAGGGAUAUUGAGACUCAUAUCAUCAAAAAAAGCUUCAGACGUAGUUUUUGCUAAACGGAGAAACAAACUCCGUAUGUAUUGUUAUAAUGUAUAAGUACGCCUAAAAAUUAAAUUAAAUUAAUAUAUUAUUAUUAUUAUGAUAUAAUCGUUAACGAAUAAUAAAAACGACGAGAUAAACGAGUUAGUUUUAAUAGACUGCACAAACACCUGCGCUUUUUUAUUGUUUGUUUGUUUUUUUUUUUUUAUAUAUAUAUAUACUUUACGUUGUUGAUUAUUGAUGUUAAUAGUUUGUUAAGUGUUGCUGUUAUUUAAUCAGAUAUAUUGUACACGCCGUGGAUUUUAUAUACCGUUCUGUAUGAUAUAAAGAUGGAUUGUGAUAAGUAACAAUAUAUAACAAUGGAAUUUAUAAUUAUACAUAUUUGUAAUUUUAAUUGUUGCAUAUUAUGUCUUUAAAUAAUUAUUACAUUGAUAAUA